AUUGAACGCUGGCGGCAGGCCUAACACAUGCAAGUCGAACGAGUGGCGGACGGGUGAGUAAUGUCUGGGAAACUGCCCGAUGGAGGGGGAUAACUACUGGAAACGGUAGCUAAUACCGCAUACCAUCGGAUGUGCCCAGAUGGGAUUAGCUAGUAGGUGGGGUAACGGCUCACCUAGGCGACGAUCCCUAGCUGGUCUGCGAGGAUGACCAGCCAAACGGGAACUGGGCCACGGUCCAGCCUCCCACGCGAGGCAGCAGUGGGGAAUAUUGCACAAGGGGCGCAAGCCUGAUGGAGCCACGCCGCGUGUAUGAAGAAGGCCUUCGGGUUGUAAAGUACUUUCAGCGAGGAGGCGUUACUCGCAGAGGAAGCACCGGCUAACUCCGGGCCAGCAGCCGCGGUAAUAC
rnacentral:rRNA from 1 species